AUACUUUAUAUAGCAAUGUCUAGGCUAGAGUAGAGAGAUGCUAAAAAAAAAAUUGGAGGGAUAGUCUUGGGCAAGGGGAGAGGGUUGGCGCACUAAUGGUCAACAUAAAGAUUAAUUAAAAAUGGCUGCCUGGUCGUGUGUUAUGAGCUCUCUGGACUGUCGUCUUGAUGGCCCCGAUUUCGAACCUCCCCCCCCCCCCCCCCGUCCUGCAGGAGGUUUGGACCAGGAAUAAUGCUCUUCAAUUCUGAAGAAAUACUCGAAACAUUAUGUCAAACAAUUGAAAGAAGAAAAGAAUGACGCAAUACUGUCCUUUUAGCCAGCUUCCACCAUGACUAGAUCUCAACAGGCCUACUCGCUAAAGAUAUUUUAUGUCAUGCAAUCAAAUAUUCGUAGACAAAUUUGGAAUACAGAGUUUCCAAUGACUCUAGUGUCUACAAUUAAUGCAAUUAAUAAUAGAAUCACACUAUAUGUCCACUAUGUCGGUGGUGGUGUUACUCAUAUAUUCAUUAUAUACAAUCGAUGCUGGAGUUCUGUCUAGACUUUCUAAAUGUAGUGUUUUUUUUUGUUGGGGUGGGGGGAUGUGUGUGGGUUGCAUACAUUUCUUGAUAAAUUACUGGCAUUAAAAAACCCCACUAUAUUUGACUAGACCUAUAUACAUAACACAUUAAUCCCUAGGGGGCAAGUACUCUACAUGUCUAAGACUAUAACUUAAAAAAAAAAAAAAAAACACAAAACUGAUGCUUGACUGCUUUCAAAAGACCAUUAUUUGGUUUGAGUGUUGUGUCACUCUAUACACACACACACAUACAUAGCCACGCAUGUAAUGUUUGGCUAGAAGCGAUUGGGGGCUGCCGCCGAGUCACAUCGAUUUCUUUCUGUCUGCUUCCGCGCCGGGGUUGGGAGUUAGGGGGGAAAAAAGGAGGCCGAGGAGGGGGUCAAAGUUCGCAGUCGCGACUAAUUUACUUUGUGCGCGAAUGUGGAGGUGGGAGGGGGGAGUACUGCCAGUGUGUAUGUGUAUGUAACUACAGUUGCGCGCGGUGUCCACCGUCAUAACAACUGUAUAUUGGAUGUUGUUAGUUUGUUAUUUCAAAGUCUGAGACUGCUACAAAUAGAGCUCUCCAACUCACAGAUAUCUAUCUGUUCUAUAGAUCUACAAGUUAGUAGAUGGAGUUCACUCUUUGAGUUUUGUAGUAGCUGCUGAGAUGGGGAUGGGAGGACGCACAUCUUGCUUACAAAAUCAUGUGUGCAUUGCUAUCAAGGCAUAUUAGACACCAUACAAGCUUCCUUCUUCUGUCUCUUAGACUUAUCCACACUUAGAUCAUCAGAGUGUAGAAGUCAAACAGAGACUCUUAAAUAAAUGUAUCUGUUUGAAGUCACAUUUGCCCAAUUGUAUUUUGUUUUCAUUGUUUUGGUGGAUUUGAAUGAUUUCGCUGUGUCUGAAUGUAAAACGACUUACCUAGACAUUAAUACUAAUAUCAUACUAGUUGUUCAUAUUAAUUUAUGUGCGUGUCAAGUUUAUGUUGGUCAUCAAACGAUGUCUCUGUAUUUACACGAAAGUCUCUAUGAAAUCAAUCUUUAAUUUUGUGAUCAACUAAAUAGGUCUUGAGUAUUUUUUUAAAAUUCCUUCAGUCCGUAUAUCUUUUUGAAAUAGAAUUGUUCAAAUUAUUACCGUACGAUACCAUAACUAGUGUGAAAAAAAAAACCAGCAGAAUUGGCAGCUUUUGGCAAAAUAAUAGAGUUAUAUUAUAUUUAUAUUAUAUUUUUAAUAUUUGUUCCUUUUUCAUUCAUCUGGUGCUGUUGGUAAAAGUAGUAGUUAGUUUUAAACAAUGGUUUAACCACAACAAAGUGACGCUUUAUAGAUUGAUCAAAUCAAUAACUAAUGCGCAACCCAAGAAAUGUGUAAUAAACAAUGAAGUCAAUAGGUCGGAUGCAACUGAAGAGGUUUCAAGUUUGUUUUUAAAAAAGUAUUUCACUAUGUCAUGACAUUGGUAGAAUUUAUUGAUGGCAAUACAUACCGGGUAUCCUACAAAAUGUGAACGUAUAUAUAUAGGCCUAUAUAAGGGUGAAUAUAAACUUGUAGGCCUACAGAUGGAUGUAACUCUCCCAUAUAACAUUUAUUGUUAAUUUCUUUUUUUUAAUUUUGUUUUUUGCUUACAAAAUGAAUGAGUGAAACCUGGCAUUGUUGAACUAUACUUAGCCUAGACCUUAAGACAUCACUCAGCGCGAAUCCAGUUUCUUUUUUUAUUUGUUUGUAAGUGUGAGACUUCACAAACAUUUUUUUAUAUAAAAUAUAUGAAAUGUGUGUGUGUGUUUGCGUUUUUGUGUGUGUUUGUUUGUGUAUAGUGCUGAAAUAGAGCCGAAGAUUUGAUGAACAAAGAAUCAAAUAAACUAAUAGAUCACG